rnacentral:misc_RNA from 1 species
GUUUAACUGCCAGAAGCUGAAAUUGCCAAUGGGAUGCGGAUAUGAGUUCCAAAUGCAAUACGGAUCAAUUGGUUGGUCAGUAGGGGCAACUCUUGGAUAUGCUCAGUCUGUGCCGGAGAAACGCGUGAUUGCUUGUAUUGGUGAUGGUAGCUUUCAGGUGACUGCUCAAGAUGUGUCAACAAUGCUGCGAUGCGGACAUGGACAGAACAGCAUCAUUUUCUUGAUCAAUAAUGGUGGAUAUACCAUUGAAGUCGAGAUCCAUGAUGGCCCGUACAACGUGAUAAAAAACUGGAACUACACUGGCUUGAUUGACGCUAUCCACAAUGGUGAAGGCAAGUGCUGGACAGCCAAGGUCCAAUGUGAGGAGGAGUUAAUUGAAGCAAUUGAGAAUGCAACGGGGCCAAAGAAAGAUUGCUUGUGCUUCAUCGAGGUCAUUGUUCACAAGGAUGACACUAGCAAAGAACUCUUGGAAUGGG